UCAGGUGUCUUGAAGAUUAAGCCAACCUCCAAUGUAAAGCUGGAUUUUGACACUAGGUCACAGGCAGUGUUUCAGUCAGCUACUCUGCUCAAUCAUAAGAUGGGAAGCUACUCCACAGGAGCCCAGGUCUGCAGCCUGCCAGCCUUCAGACUGAGAUGUGUUCCAUGGAUUCCUCUGCUUCUCAGACACCAUCAAAUUCCUCGUGUCCAACUGACUACCUGCAGGAUCACGCCCAUGAACUUCACUGCAGAGUCCCUUUUCUGAGAAAUUGAAUAUGAAAAUGCAU